AUAUCAGCUAGUGAAUUUUUAGAGUAGUCAUUCUAAAUUGAUUGCAUAGUUUGUGAUUAUUAUGUAAUCAAAAGAGUGGAAUGUAAUGGGAAAAUGAUAUGUGACCCUUUUAAAUGCUUCAUUUGUAUAACCAGUUUAUUAGUUGCAAGUGCUUAGGUCACAAAGGCCCUGACAUAAGAACUGAUGUCUCCCACUUGGAUUAGAUGUUUCCAGCGUCAUAGCUGUAGAGACUGAACAAAGUGUUUGUUAUGUCUAUGACCACCUUUGUUUAAGCAUGUUGGGAGAGCAAGGACACGGUCAAAGAACUGAUGUGUCUCACAUGGACAAGGUGUUCCCAGUACCCUGGCUGUAGAGACUCAACAAGAUGGUUAACGGUCUCUGUUGACGCCACCGAUAUCUAAGUUUAGGUAUAAGAACUGCCUCGAUGUGUUGGGAAGAAAAGGAGGUUCUUGACAGUCUACUGACCACGUAGCUGUUGGGACCCUUUUUCCCUUGCAAGGAAAUAAACGGAGAAAAGACAUACUUGACUCAGAGCCUUUGAUUCUUACUUAACGAUUGUCUGUGCAAAAUCUUCCACCACAGAAAUGUCAUGAAAUUCUAUCUUUAGUCAUAUGAAGGGGGACAAUGGUGAGAAAACGUACUUUUGAAUAAAAAUCUGAUUUUUUUCUAAAUUGGAGUAAUUAGACAUUCUAAUGGCUGCAGUUGACACGGUACAGUGGUGUAGUGGUUAGCACUCUCGCCUCCCAGAGAGAUGCCUCGGGUUCAACUCCACCCUGUGGAGCCUCUGUGUUAGGUAGUGUAGGGUAAGCGACCUUGGGGUUCGCUCCAUACUUGUAAAAGCAAUGGAAAAUUUUUUUUUUAAAUUCCGCAUCUGAAAAGAAUCCCCAAAUAUUUUGCAAAAUGUCAUGAAAUUCUAUCUUUAGUCAUAUGAAGGGGGACAAUGGUGAGAAAACGUACUUUUGAAUAAAAAUCCGGAUAUUUUCUAAAUCGGAGUCAAUAGACAAUCUAAUUGCAGCAGUUGACACAGUACAGUGGUGUAGUGGUUAGCACUCUCGCCUCCCAGACAGGUGCCUCGGGUUCAACUCCACCCAGUGGUGCCACUGUGUUAGGUGGUGUAGGCUAAGCCUGCAUGGGGUUCACUCCAUAUUUGUAAAAGUAAUGGAAAUUUUUUUUUUUAAACUUCCAAGUCUAAAAGAAAUGCCAAAAUAUUUUGCAACAAGUAAUGAAAUUCUAUCUUUAGUCAUAUGAAGGGGGACAAUGGUGAGAAAACGUACUUUUGAAUAAAAAUCCGGAUAUUUUCUAAAUUGGAGUCAAUAGACAAUCUAAUUGCAGCAGUUGACACGGUACAGUGGUGUAGUGGUUAGCACUCUCGCCUCCCAGACAGGUGCCUCGGGUUCAACUCCACCCAGUGGCGCCACUGUGUUAGGUGGUGUAGGCUAAGCCUGCAUGGGGUUCACUCCAUAUUUGUAAAAGUAAUGGAAAAAACUUUUUUUAAACUUCCAAGUCUAAAAAAAAUGCCAAAAUAUUUUGCAAAAAGUAAUGAAAUUCUAUCUUUAUUCAUAUGAAGGUGUACGAUGGUGAGAAAACCUACUUUUGAAUAAAAAUCCGAAUUUUUUCUAAAUUGGAUUCAUAAGACAUUCUACCGGCAGCAGUUGACACGGUACAGUGGUGUAGUGGUUAGCACUCUCGCCUCCCAGACAGAUGCCUCGGGUUCAACUCCACCCAGUGGAGCCUCUGUGUUAGGUGGUGUAGGCUAAGCCUGCAUGGGAUUCACUCCAUACUUGUAAAAGUAAUGGAAAAAAGUUUUUUUUAAACUUUAGCAUCUGAAAAGAAUCCCCAAAUAUUUUGCAAAAUGUCAUGAAAUUCUAUCUUUAGUCAUAUGAAGGGGGACAAUGGUGAGAAAACGUACUUUUGAAUAAAAAUCCGGAUAUUUUCUAAAUUGGAGUCAAUAGACAAUCUAAUUGCAGCAGUUGACACGGUACAGUGGUGUAGUGGUUAGCACUCUCGCCUCCCAGACAGGUGCCUCGGGUUCAACUCCACCCAGUGGCGCCACUGUGUUAGGUGGUGUAGGCUAAGCCUGCAUGGGGUUCACUCCAUAUUUGUAAAAUUAAUGGAAAAAACUUUUUUUAAACUUCCAAGUCUAAAAAAAAUGCCAAAAUACUUUGCAAAAAGUAAUGAAAUUCUAUCUUUAGUCAUAUGAAGGUGUACGAUGGUGAGAAAACCUACUUUUGAAUAAAAAUCCGAAUUUAUUCUAAAUUGGAUUCAUAAGACAUUCUACCGGCAGCAGUUGACACGGUACAGUGGUGUAGUGGUUAGCACUCUCGCCUCCCAGACAGAUGCCUCGGCUUCAACUCCACCCAGUGGUGCCUCUGUGUUAGAUGGUGUAGGCUAAGCCUGAAUGGGAUUCACUCCAUACUUGUAAAAGUAAUGAAAAAAGUUUUUUUAAACUUCUC
ensembl:lncRNA